AUUGGUUGUCUUUUCUGGUUGAACUGAAGUUUCAACACAUUUUCUAAUACUGGUUUUAAAAAUAGCGAUAUUUUUGAGAUUCCAUUUUGAAAUAACCUAAAGUGAGAGGUUGUAAUCUGAAUAAAAAGAAAAAAGGCCAUUCUUGAACAUGGGGGGAGACAUUCGUAAUAAUCUGCUAGAGAACCUGUUUGGAUUUAAGUCUAACUUUUGUAUGACUGAAGCCUUUAGUAAGAUGUCUAGUGUUUUACAAUGUAAUCAUUUCUGUCCUCCAAAUUCAUAAUCAUUCUAUAAAUAGGCCCGUUAUAUUUUGUCUGGCUCGUCGUUACAAAUAAAAUGGAAUAUUAUACUGAGAGGACUUCCUGUUUGUUUUCAUCUUGCUGCAAGUCUCCCUGGGAGGACUGUUCUUCAGGUCAGAUAUCCUCCUCUCCCUGAGAGGACAGUUCUUCAGGUCUGAUAUCCUCCUCUCCCUGGGAGGACUGUUCUUCAGGUCUGAUAUCCUCCUCUCCCUGAGAGGACAGUUCUUCAGGUCUGAUAUCCUCCUCUCCCUGGGAGGACUGUUCUUCAGGUCUGAUAUCCUCCUCUCCCUGAGAGGACAGUUCUUCAGGUCCGAUAUCCUCCUCUCCCUGGGAGGACUGUUCUUCAGGUCUGAUAUCCUCCUCUCCCUGAGAGGACUGUUCUUCAGGUCUGAUAUCCUCCUCUCCCUGGGAGGACUGUUCUUCAGGUCUGAUAUCCUCCUCUCCCUGGGAGGACUGUUCUUCAGGUCUGAUAUCCUCCUCUCCCUGGGAGGACUGUUCUUCAGGUCUGAUAUCCUCCUCUCCCUGGGAGGACUGUUCUUCAGGUCUGAUAUCCUCCUCUCCCUGGGAGGACUGUUAUUCAGGUCUGAUAUCCUCCUCUCCCUGAGAGGACUGUUCUUCAGGUCUGAUAUCCUCCUCUCCCUGGGAGGACUGUUCUUCAGGUCUGAUAUCCUCCUGAUAUCCUCC